GUGCUCGCUUCGGCAGCACGUACACUAAACUUGGAACGACACAGAGAAGAUUAGCAUGGCCCCUGCCCAAGGAUGACAUGCAAAUUCCUGAAGCGUUCCAUAUUUUU